UUACGAUAAUAUCACGAUGAAAAAUCAGUUCUUAUACGAUCUCCAAAGUUAAACAACGUCGAGGCUGGUUAUUACCUUGAUGAGUGACCACUUGGGAAUACCAGGUGUGGUAAG